GCCCAGAUGGCUCAGUCGGUUAAGCGUCCAACUUCAGCUCGGUCACGAUCUCACGGUUGGUGGGUUCGAGCCCCACGUUGGGCU
rnacentral:tRNA from 1 species